rnacentral:rRNA from 1 species
CAGCCGCCGCGGUAAUACGAAGGGUGCAAGCGUUACUCGGAAUUACUGGGCGUAAAGCGUGCGUAGGUGGUGGUUUAAGUCCGUUGUGAAAGCCCUGGGCUCAACCUGGGAAUUGCAGUGGAUACUGGGUCACUAGAGUGUGGUAGAGGAUAGUGGAAUUUCCGGUGUAGCAGUGAAAUGCGUAGAGAUCGGAAGGAACAUCUGUGGCGAAGGCGACUAUCUGGGCCAACACUGACACUGAGGCACGAAAGCGUGGGGAGCAAACAGGAUUAGAUACCCCAGUAGUCCCUGUCUCUUAUAC